UUGUUCAAAUACUUAUUAUGAUAUGUGAACGAACGUAGUCUCUACGAACACACUCUUGUAAACUUUUACAGGGCUUGAAUUUGUUUUUUGUAUACAAGGAAAUGGAUUUAACAUACUCAAAAUAUUUAUGUUUUCUGAUGAUUUUUUGGAUAAUAUCAGUAGAUACCUAUCUGAAACAAUUCGACUUGCCCCGCUUGUCAGAAGAAUGUUUGAAUGGAACGUUUGGUUAUAGAUGUAUUUUCCGAUGUCGAUGUCAUGAGGACCAAGCAUGCAAUAAGAAGACGGGAGAAUGCCAUAGUGGAAGAUGUGCGGAGGGAUUUUGGGGACCACGAUGUCAGCUUUCAAACAACUGCUUUUAUAAUGGACAAGCAGACAAUUAUAUGGGAACAGUAGCAGUGACUUACAAUAAUUACACCUGUCAGAAAUGGGUAAACGAAUUUCAUUUUUAUACAGAGGCAAAUUUUCCAGAUCGGACGAUGCCGGAAAAUUACUGCCGAACUGCUCAGGAUUCUGAUCGACCCUGGUGUUACACGACCAACAAAGACACGAGAUGGGAAUAUUGUAACAUAAAUA